UACGUAGGGGGCGAGCGUUGUCCGGAAUCAUUGGGCGUAAAGCGCGUGUAGGCGGCUCGUUAAGUCCGGUGUGAAACCUUGGGGCUCAACCCCAAGCCUGCACUGGAUACUGGCGAGCUCGAGUCCGGGAGGGGAGAGCGGAAUUCCUAGUGUAGCGGUGAAAUGCGCAGAUAUUAGGAAGAACACCGGUGGCGAAGGCGGCUCUCUGGAACGGUACUGACGCUGAGACGCGAAAGCGUGGGGAGCGAACAGG
rnacentral:rRNA from 1 species